GGUUUGCUAGAGUCCCUGCAGGAGAGGAUGUUAUUUGAUUUGGGCAGGAAAUGGUGUUCAAUUCCCUGGCCUCUUCAUUGUUUGACUUUGCAGAUUUUUUCCCCCCAAACUCCAUGGUUCAAGGAAAAAGGAAGGUGAAGCCCAUGGACAACUGCAACAUGAGACACAGCUGGCUGGGCAGCUCUGCCAGCCCCCACUCAGCUGCCGGGAUGCAGUCCUCAGGGCAAGGGAGGCAGCCAACCCCUGGCGUGACAUUUUCAGCCGUGCAGCUGUGGGCCCUGGCACGUUGCUGCUGGAGCUUGGUGGUUGCCUUCCAGCCCCUGAAUAGCUUUUGAUUAGGAUGGGAUGCCUAGCAGAUGAGUCAGAUUUAAACCACACUGCAUGUGGUUAGUAGCUGCCAUUUUUUUUUUUUUUUUUUAAUCACUGUCAUAUUGCCGGGGAUUACAACACCCCAGGAGAUGUCUUAAUUUAUUUGGUCCCUAACCUUUAAGAUGACAAUCACGUUUUGUGAGCUUUUGAUGCUUUUCUUUUAACAGUCACAAUUCUCCCCAGACCCAUACCUUUAAUUCCUUUCUGGAAUUAGAUGGACCAUGGAUACCAUCAGUUCUGGGACUGAUUGUACUGUAAUUAGAGUCCAAGAAAUGUUUGGAGCUGACUUUUACACCCUAUUCUUCUUAUGAUACUGGAAGUUGGUGUGCUCUGGAUCAGAGAGGGAAUUUCAAAGCAGAAACAACUAAUAAAACUGACCUGGAGUGGUGGGGGAGAUGGAUACCGGGCAUGCAACAGAAAGGUGGUAGAAUAUGGGGCCUCCUAAAGUGUGAUUCCACUCAUGGCCACCAGGUCAAUGAGUCCUGAAAUUUUGCCAACAGAAAAUAAUUCUUCUGACUUAAGUGUGUUUUAUUGGCAAGCCAAGUUUUCCUGGAAGGGAUUGCCAAUUUGUCUCUUUUCAGACAUGAAUGCCUAAAUGUGCAUGAGUUUAUCAGGUCACUUCCUGAGGUUAGAUUUUGUUGGAGAGCUCAAAAAGUGAAAGAAAGGGCUGGGUACAUGCCUGUAAUCCCAGCACUUUGGGAGGCCGAGGUGGGUGGAUCACCUGAGGUCAGGAGUUCGAGACCAGCCUGGCCAACAUAGUAAAACUCCAACACUACUGAAAAUACAAAAAUUAACCGGGCAUGAUGGCAGGCACCCGUAAAAGCAGCUACUCGGGAGGCUGAGAUAGGGAGAAUUGCUUGAACCCAGGAGGCAGAGGUUGCAGUGAGCCGAGAUCAUGCCAUUGCACUCCAGCCUAGAUGACAGAGCGAGACUCAGUCUCAAAAAAAAAAAAAAA
rnacentral:lncRNA from 1 species